rnacentral:lncRNA from 1 species
ACAAAGCAAUCCACUGACGGAGCAGUCCCCGCAGGCUUUUGAGAAGCACAUUAGGAGAGGACUCUGCCCACUGUCUCUCUCACAAUCUGCUCGAAAUAUCUUGGUCAGGAGUCUCAGGAUGUCUAGUGACCCUGAGUGAGGUGCUGCCUUUUAUUCCUGAGCAUCUUUGGAAGCAGGAAGCAGGGAGCAACGGUAGCGAGAGGUAUUCCGAUCUGAGUACCAGCAGGAAGAAGAAACAGAGGAAGAAGUCCCCGAUAAGGAAGGCGUGAGGAGCGCAGGAAGCGCUGUUUACCUGCCUGAGAUCUUUAUUCUACUAGGUCUUUAUUCUACAUAGCCGAUACGCUGUAAGAUUCUGGAGGAGAAGGCUAGGGGUUUAAGGUUGGUAAUCUCUCAGAAGAUCUGCGUCUCGGUGACGGGAAAAACUAAGGGUAAGUGCUGAGAAGCCUCUCUUUAUAGCCAGAGAACGAGCGAGAGCCGAGCUUGAGAAUGACAGGAUGGAUAUAGCAGUUAUGCCCAAGGAAGACCCUCGGCCCUUUGAAUUUGAAGGCACUGAAAAUCGUAUAAAUGUUUUCAUAUAAACGUAUGCAUCUUUGAUAUAAAUAACAAAAUGGCUUUUAGCGCAAAUUUUGUUUUGGAAAUCCUGAAAAACGUCUUAAUAAGAGGAAUGUUUACUCUUAAGUCUGCAGUAGAUUUUGAACACUGGCAGUAACUCUGUACAAAUAUAUCAGAUUAGUUUUAAUAGCCAUCUCCCCUUCCCCUACAAGUAAAGGAGAGUACUACAGCAGUAUGUACUCUGAAUUGCUGCUAUUGAAGAACCCCUGAGCCUGUGCAGUGGGGCACUCCUGUGGUCCCCAUUACUCAGGAGGCUGAGACAGGAGGAUUGCUUGAUGCCAGGUAGAGGCUGCAGUGCGCUAUGAGAACACCUGUGAAUAGCCACUGCAUUCCAGCCUGAGUAACAUGGCCAGACCCCAUCUCUUAAGAAAAGAAAAGAAACCCUGAACCAGAGGAGCAGAGCUGCCACCACUUAGUGGUAGGGAUGGGGCAGAACAGCUCAGGGCAAGACACAGGCCUUGGAUGCCAAUGCCAGCCCUCAGAUAUUGAGCAAUGUGUAAGUGGGGUUAGCCUGCAGGAGAGCUUGCCACCUCCUCCUCUUCAUCAGGUGAUCCCCAUUGACCUAGACAAUAUCUUUAAUAUAGAGUUCUGAUUUUUUCUACACAAUUUUACAGGGCAUACAGAAUAUAUUUCCUGUCCAAUAAUGACAGAAAUACUUGAUUUUGAAGAGUAACAGUUAUAGCAUGGAAUAGAAGACUGGAGGCAGUUUGAGGGCCCACUUCAGAGUCCUGGUUGAAAUGGAGGUUGAGAAGUAUAAUGCAGUCAGUGCAGGUGACUUUCAGCUGGGUGUCUAGUCCUAUCAGAGGUAAGAACUGUGGUUGCCCUAACCAAAACAGUAGGACUAAGAGACCUUAAAUGAAAGAUGAAAAUUAUUAUAGAGAGAAAUGAUCCUACUGGCAAACAAUUCACCUCCAAGAAUUAUGAUGUGAUUCUUUGUCAGCUACUCACAGAUGGAAUUCUAAAGUGGUAGCAGACCCUGAAGGACAAUGUCACCAUCAGAACCACCAACAAGGACAAACUGUCCCUCUCCUGCAUCACCCUGCACACCAUCUGCAUCCACAAAAAUGCUCAUUCUUCAACAAGCCUCCUAUUUCUUUUGGGUGACUGAGAACACUGCCCAGCACCUCCAUCACAUACUUUAGCACUUCCCACCCUGACUUAGGGUCCCAUAUGCCUCCCGUUUCUUCUUGACCAGUGACCUGCCACUGUGGGCACUGUCAUUCUACAUGUCAGUGAGUGCAGAGUGCUGUGGUGUCCGUGCAGACUAUCUUUGAGCUGACUCUGCAGGCCAGUGACCAGGGUUCAACUUGCUCAGUGUCGUCCUGAACCUGCAUGUGAUGGUGGAUGACCAUUGCAAAAAUGCAAGGACACUAUGCCAGGAGUUGCAGCCAAGUGGGGCCCUCUUUGAUGCUGCACCACUCACAAUGCAACCCAACUAUCCCAUCACCAAAGUGGACACCAGCUGGGGCACAAAGGCUGACUGUCCUAUCAUGUGCCUCAGGCCAGCUAAUGUGGCUCUUCAAACUAGGGAUGUGCACGAGCUAGAUGUGUGCUGUGUCACUGUGGGUAACAGAGAUGCAACCUGCCAAGGUUUGUUGGUCACCGUAGUCAAUGGUGAAUCAUCGCACUGAAACAUCACCUGGUUGCUGCUCACAGUUUGCAGGAGUUGCUGCCAGACCUCAGCAAUCGCCCAGCACCCAACAGCAGGCAGCAGACAGUACCCAACAGCUGAUGAUGGCUGUUGCCUUGAUCUCCAUGCUGUUUCUCCUCAGUGUGACUCUGGCCAUCUCUCUGAACCUGCAAUGCCCCCUAUAGCCCCACUGCCUGGGGCUGUUUUCAGCCGGAUCUCUGGUCCAAGCCGGGAUAUGGAGUUGUCUCCAACUUAAAGGAAGGAAAUUUGCCCUGUUCCUACAACGUAUGUGUGGUUUUAGAUAUUUUAAAAUUUUAAUUUCUUUAACUCAAGAAACAGCUUUCAACCAGUUAUUCUCUGCAGUGCCAGCAAUGAAGCUUUGUUUUAUUUUUGUUUUUGUAGAAACGGGGUUCACUAUGUUGACCAAGCUGGUCUCAAACUCCUGGCCUCAAGUGAUCUGCCCACCUUGGCCUCCCAAAGUGCUGGGAUUGCAGGCGUGAGCCACUGCACAUGGCCAGCAAUGAAGCUUUAAAUGUUGCAUUUGAUUCAAAUGUAUUUGUGUGAUAUUUUAACAUUUUUAUUUUAUACUUAUCAUCCUUUUAUAAAUCACUCCUGCGUGUUUUUGGUUGCUGAGAGUAGGGAGCUCUUCAGGUUUACUUACUAGUUCUUAUGUACAUUUUAAUUUGCCUCAUUAACUCACAAUUUCUUUGGGGAAAAGUUUGUGCCUAUUAAUGUGUGUUCUGAAAAGUUACAUUCUCUGUUAAAGAGUUACUUCCUUGCAAUAUUGAAGGUGAUUUAUUGCACCUUUAAAUUUCUACUCUUUGGCUCCAUAUACUUGUCUUUGAGAAGGUGAGAAACUGUAGAUUUGGUUAAGAACUAAAGUUCUCUUUCCAAAAA